CAGUCGCACUUAUGGGUUUGAAUUAAAAAACAUAUCCUUAAUAAUAAAGAAAGUGUUCAAAAAGGAAUGAUAAAGAAAGUUAGUCAAAAAAGUUUCGUCCAGUGAAGGUUCUAUUCACUUGUAAUGUAGAGAUUUUAAGGUUCAAAUCUCUUGGGUGUCGAGGUUGCAAAUAAUUUAUUCUUCUAACUCCGUAAUAUAGAUACAUCGUUGUAUGAAAAAAAUAUAAUGAUAAUAAUAUAAUAACAGUCCUAGACUCCUAGUGCAAUAAGAAAUUAAAAAUCUCUAGAACCCCGUUCCAAGAUUGAUUUCCAAAUCACAGGGGUUGGAGUUAGGUUUGGGGGACAUUGAUGGGACGGGUAAUAUAUAGCAUCAAGCUAAUAUAAAAAUGCUAAGCCCUAAAUUAGAAAGAAACCAAGAUUCAGCUAGAUGAAUGACGAGUUUCAACAAAGAGCUUGCGAACCGAACCUGGAUUCUUCAAUUAGAGAUUCAAGAGAAACCAACAGAAAUCAGAAUCGAACUUCAUGAACUCCAGUUGAAAAGCACUGUGGACACCAUACCCCAACCAGCUCAGCCUUCCAAUGACCAACUCAUUUCUUCCGUCCUUCAAUCCAACCCUGACAUCAACAAUCAAUCCAACCCUGACAUCAACAAUAAGAAGAGGAAGAGAGUAGCUUCAAUUCAUCCUGAUGUCUUGCGAGAAGCUUCAUUGGACAACUUUGAUGGAGUUGCCAAGCAUGUCUUCAAGAAGCUCCGAGCAGAUAAAUUGUGUCAAGUUAACUCUUCCUUAUCUUCCAGCCAUCAUUAGGAACUUAUUAGUGCUCAUACUAAGACCCUCAAGAAGAUCCAAGAUGUAGCGGAGAAACUCAAGGUGUUGAAUUCUUCUUUGGUGUCAAAGUACAAGAACUCUGUUGAAAUAGACUCCAAGUCCUUAGUUAACCUUUUUACUGCAUAUUACUUCGAAGGUUUCAAGGAUUGUAAGGCUAAGGGCCAUAUUUGGCCCCAUGUCCGAAUGGGAAAAUUUAUUAAAUCAAACCAAACCAAACCAAACCAACUACACCAAGGAAUAAAGCAGCCCACCGGUUCAACGUGUCCAUGAAUAGGCCCAAUAGAGAACCCGUUUUUAUUUGUUCGCAAAACCGACCCGGCUUCUUUCCCUCGCCCGCUCAUUUCCACAGCUCCCUCUCUCCCUCUCUGUAACGUUAGAUAUUCAAACUUUCCUCCUCUUUCUUCUUCCAGGCUCUUUUUAUCCGACUCCGCCCGACAUGCCGGCGCCAAAUUAACUUGAACUUAUCCCUGCACGUCCAGUAAAACGCUUUUCUCCUUUCAACCUCAGUUCGACCACCAGCUGCUUGAUUAAAUGCCUCAACGACGCUGGCCACUUCAAUGUCUUUGGUUACUUGCUCCUCAAGUUAGAAAUAGGCAAGUUAGGAAUUGAGUGGUAAAAUUUUUUGUGGUUAAGAUUCUUUUCUGUGAAGAAAUUCAUCCAUCAUUGGACAACUUCAGUUUAACUUUCUGCUCUAUAUGUUCUCGGAAUCCUCAGGUUUGAGCUUGUUCAAAUGCCGGGCUGGUUUCUGUGUUCUUUUGGGUUUUCUUCGUUGGCCAAGUGGAGUUUACAAGAUAUUUUAGGAUUACCAGGGAGACUUGCAGUUAAAGGAAACUGCUUUUCAACUGUGGUGGGAACAAUCUUGGUCCAGGCCAGGCUCGAGAUCCUUCUAAACUAACUGGGGACAUACAGAAUGCAAUUGAUGAGCAUAGACUAAAUGAUGCAUGGAAGUUGCAUGAGCAGCACGUGCAGACGGAAAAUUUUCCUAUGAAAUAUGUUAUGAAUGAGCUCCUAACGAGUCUUGUCGAAAGCUUUCGUGUUCAGUGGCUAGCUUGAGAAGGCUGAGGGCUGGUAGAGCAUGCUAUUGCAAAAACAAAACAGAACUUGUUAGAGGAGACGCUGAUUUAUCUGUCUUUUCGUCUUGCCAAAGCCGGAUCACAUAUUCCUGCAUGCCACUGUUUUGAGAAAAAAUGGUAGAAAAUGGAACGGUUCCCCCUAUUGCUCCCUGGUCUGCAAUAUUGACCUGCAUGUCUCGAACAGCCCAAAAGGCUACUGAUUGUGAUGAACUAUUUAUAGGAAAGAAAGGUUAUGAUGGUGAUGCUGGUCAAGUCCGUCGGCUUGAGGUAGCUUUUAAUUAAUGGUACACAAAACCAUACAUGUUUGUUACACAAGGAUCAUGGAUGUAUGCAAAGUUUGAUUCGGAAAACACAAUAGGCUUAAUUCCUGUUAUGUUGUGUUUGGUACAAGUAUAACCUGUAGCAUGAAUCGUGACAUUAUUUGAACAUGCCAGGAUUUGCUGUUAUUCUAACAUCUGUAUUUUUUCCCUCCUCUACAAGUUCUAGCUUCAAGGGUAGAAUUUCUUAAUUUCACUAGAUUAGGAUACCUCUUUGGUUGUGACGGACUUAAGUGAUUUUUUUGUCCUUCAUUCGUACCGUACGCUGUCUAUGCUUGUUUCCUUUUUCUUGCAGCAUAUUUAUAAACACUCCCUCCUUGAUUCGGGGAUAUUGUGCUGUCUCGUUCAUAUUCUCAAUGCCCUUCUGGAUCCUGAUGAAGCCAAUCAAAAGCAAAAGGCUACUGAUCGUGAUGAACUAUUUACAACUGAGAAAGAUUAUGACGGUGAUGCAGGUCAAGUCCGUCGGCUUGAGGUACUGGGGAUUGCUGUGCAUAUUAUGAAAGCACUGGCAAACCAUCCUUUGGCAGCACAAAGUUUGAUUGAGGAUGAUUCUCUUCAGUUGCUUGUUCAGAUGGUUGCGAAUGGCUCUUUGAUAGUCUUCUCUCGACAUAAGGAGGGCCCAGUUCUGCUGCACAGCAUUCAGCUUCAUAGGCAUGCCAUGCAGAUUCUUGUUCUUCUCUUGGUCAAUGGCAACAGGAGCACAGCAAAACAUAUUCGUAAACAUCAUCUGAUCAAAGUUCUUUUAAUGGCUGUCAAAGAUUUCAAUCCUGAUUGCGGUGAUUCUACAUAUACCAUGGGCAUUGUGAAUUUGCUGCUUGAAUAUGUGGAAGUCUCAUGUAGACCUGCCGGUAGAAGCUGGUGGUGUCUGGCUUAGGGAGGAUAUACGUAAUGCCAAACAAAGAAAAUCUCUUUCAUAUAUGUUUCUGAAAGGUACCAAAUGUUACUUUCUUUGUAGCAUCCGACUUCAUAGAAAAGAAUGAAUGGGCGGGGAAAUGGAAAAUGGGAGAAAAUCCGUUUGAUCCUAGUGGGAGAGAAUUCAUUAGGAUAUGUUUUGUUUCCUAUUUCGUUACUUUCCAUUCAUGAGGAGAUGUGCUUGGCUGGUGUAAGAACUGGUUCUGCUGUAUUUACCUCUCUUUCACCAGCUUCUAUUGAACACUUGUUACCUUUCAGAACAUAUAUGAAAGAGUUUUUCUUUGUUAAGUAGUUAGAUCUGAUGGUUUCAUCCUUUCAUCAGAGGACGUGAUUGCGGGUCAUGAAAUGUUGCCAUGAUGAAAAAUUACCCGUUACUUUGAUCCUAUUGAUAAACAAUCUCUCCCUUGAUUCGGGGAUAUUGUGCUGUCUCAUUCAUAUUCUCAAUGCCCUUCUGGAUUCUGAUGAAGCCAUUGAAAAGCAAAAGGCUACUGAUCGUGAUGAACUAUUUAAAAGUGAGGAAGAUUAUGAUGGUGAUGCAGGUCAAGUCCGUCGGCUUGAGGUGGCUUGAGGUGGCUUUUACUUAAUGGUACACAAAACCAUACAUGUUUGUUACACAUGGAUGUAUGCAAAGUAGAACCUUGUAACAUUUUGGAUCGUGACAUUAUUUGAGCAUGCCAGGAUUUGCUGUUAUUCUAACAUCAUGUCUUCCUCCCUGUUUGAGGUGUAUAUUUCGCAUAUUUGAACUACAGCCAGCCACUAGUAGUUUUUUUCAUACUGAACUUAA